AUUGAUACUGUGUUCCAAAUUAGCUCUACCUACAAUAGGUAUCUCAAUUUUGCCAAUCCUACUCAAUGUUCGCAUCUCGAUCUUACAUCAACACUAGAGGAGGCUUUUGAGACAUUACAAUACUUAAAUCAGAAAAUGCAGAUGGCAAUUGGAUUCUUUGACUGUCAGAAUAUCGGGCCAUCUACCUCUCAUGCUGUCCCUUUUGAGAUAUUUGUCAAACAUCUACCUCGACAGGUGCGUGGUAGGAACUAGGGAGGUAGGUGUCGCAAGAGGGAUGCCUCUUUAUGUGAUGAUGAUGUGCCUACUACACAGGCUAUUCAGAGUUCAGUACAUGCCGAAUACAACCAUGUCAUUGUGACUCAAUUGUUUCAUUUUAGAGAUUUCUCUACACCUCCAUGUGUUCCUAUCUUUGGAGAUCAUUUUCUCAUGACAUACCCUCAUACCCUCAUUUGACUAUAUGACAAGUGUUGAAUUGCCCUCUAUUAUGUCACAUACGUCAUUUCAGCCCCAUAAUGAGUCCGGUGAUGACUUUGCUCGUAUCUACGACUUUCUAAGCUCUUCAAUGGGCUUUUCACCUGUUUUUUUAAGUGGACACAAACAUUGUUUCUCGUGAUGCUCCUUCCAUUACCACUACAGAUCGUUCCUAUUUCAUAUACAGUUAGACUCUCAUGGUGGACACCUCAGAUGAUGAUGAGGAGGAACAAAUGCCUAAGAGAUUGCAAGCACUACCUAGGAGGUUUGAACGGGUAUAGCUAUAGCAAGAUUUACCACAUAGGCGAAUACAUUUAAGAUGUGGCUUCUCUAUCAAUCUGCACAAUAAAGGGCAAUGGGCACGUUGAUAGGUAAAAUUCAGACUUCAAGAUUUUUUUCUUAUCAGACCUCUUGUUUUAAAUAAUGACAAUACUAUUUUGUUUAAUUAUAUUAGACAUUUAUCGAUAGAUGUUACAAUAUUUAUCUUAACUUAUAUUAUUUGUAAAACAAAAAAUAUUCAAAAUAGGAUAUGACUUCAACAUAUUUCAAUUUAAAUUAAUUUUUGUACUAUAAAAUGGAAACUAAAUCUCGCUUCUAGCCAUUCAUUGAUGAUCAAUCAAUGGAUAUGAUGGAAAAAAUAGUAGAUUUUAAAGGUAAUUUUGUUUGAAGGCAUAAUCUAAUCCUUGAUAAAUUAGGGUUUAGGGAUUACUAAUAACAAAAAUUUAAAUUUUUUUGAAAAAUGUCGCUGCAUUCAAUUAAGAUGCAGCGAUCAUAAUUUUUUUAAAAAAAUAUUACUCUGUUGCAUGCUAUAUGACAUGCGACAAAUCCUUUUUAAAAAAAAAAAAAGAUUUCCCUCUUUAAUUUUAGCAGCAGCGAAAAAAUUAGAAAUUAAAUGAAUAUUUCAUGAUCGUUGCAUUUGGCCCUAAGUUUAGCACAAAAUCUCUAGGAACACCACUUUUAGGAUGUGUUUUUGAAUUUAAUAAUAUUUUAUGGAAUUUGCCCUCAAAGUCCAUGUCCUAUUGCAUUUCAUCAAAACAUGUUCAUAUACCUUCUAUCCAACUUUUAAGCCAUAUUAUGGACUAACUGAUUUCUUAUUCUUCUUCAUUCUAAUUAUUUGUUUGGUCUUCUUUUCCGACUGUGGGAUGCAGUGCUAAAACAUAAAUAUUUUAUCAAGUAUGACAAAAAAAAAAAAAAGACUAGCAAGAAAGCAUAAAACUGCAAGUUAAAAGCAUAAAUUUACUUGCUAGUUUGAAAUUAAUCCAUUGGCCACCUAACCAAUCGUGAUGUAGCCUCAAUUGGUCCAAGGGACAAAAUAGUUUGAUUGAUUUCCCAUUUAUGAUGCCUAUCCAUCACCCAUCACUCGGAAAUAUACAUCACCCAGGUCAUACAAGUUUUUGGAAUUACCCAAGUCAUACAAGUUGAAACAACUUAUCGGAACAUGUGAAAGCAAAAGUCGGAGCUAAUCAACACUGACAACCUCUUUUGAUGGUUCAGAUUCAUCUUCUAGUAGGUCAACAGAUUGAGUUUUUUUUUAUUUCCUUUGUGGUUAGGGUGCAAAAUUAGGGUUAGGGAAAGGAAAAAUUGGGGAAAAUGGAGGAUCAUGCCACAUGGUCCUUUACUUACUUUUGUGGUCAAUGAUGGUUGACAAAUACACCUGAUUAACCCAUUUUAUAUUAGGUUAAAAUUUUAUGUGGGUUGACAAAUUUACCCUUUAAAAGUUGAUCACGUGAUGCUUUCGUGAUUUAUUCCAACCAAAAUAUGACUAAAAAGGUGAUGAAGAAUAAAAAUUAGCAUUUUUACUUAUGAGGGACUAAAAUGAAUCAUUUUCAUUUUGAAGGGCUAAAAUUUCAUAUCAACUAUAUAUGGGGGACUAUUAGCGUAAUUUUUCUAUAUAGGAAAUACUCAUUGGUUGGGAACCCACCAGACGCUACCUUCCUAAAGCUAAACGCAGGUGGCUUCUCGAAAGCAGGUGCACAGGAAGCACAACCAACAGCGUGGCUAAGGCUUGGACGAUUAGAGAGGGAUUUCACGUUGCAAUUCAACAAAAAAUUUUCACCCAUAUUAUUGUUGAAUCUGACUCUAAAGUCAUUAUUGAUAUAAUUAAUAGGGAUGAUGUUGACAAUCACUUACUUUCUCCCCCAUUUUAUCAGAUCGCAGAGAACUUGUCCAACAGAUUUUACGAGUUUUUUUUUAAAGAGUUUGAAUGGGUUCGGUUCCAAUCACUAUUACGAAUCAGGGGAUGACUCUGGGAUCAUAAGUGAUUCUACGAGUCAAGUUUAAGCAUAUCCUCAAAGAAUCAAAUAUAUGCGCGAUCGAUCAGUGGGCUAAACUGGGAACUCAGCAAGAAAAGGAUUUUGUAUUGCAUCUGCUCCCUCCUCCUCUCGUAAGCAGUAUCUUAUAUAUAUAUUUAUGACAUUAGAGGAGUUAAGUUUCUUAGGAUGGUUGUAGAAGAUCUAUGUUAAUUUAAUUUAAGGUCUUUUUUCUUCCGUAAAAAAAAUAAAAAUAAAAGCUUUUUAAUAGGAAGAUAUAUCACUUGGAAAGUAUAAAAGGCUACAUAACAUGCAUUAAGCAGAAUUGCUUAUAACUAACAUACUAGUGAGAUUUUGAAAAUUUCUUGAAGUUUCCUUAAAAAUAAAAAAUGUCUAUGCUAUCUUUAAUAGAAACUCUCUUAAAUGAAACAUUUUGUGGGAAUGUUUGACUGCAAUGAUCUAGUAUCAUUUUACCAGUUAGUUAUGCUUUACUUGAAUUUUUUUUAAAAGCACUUCUUGUGCUCAGCUUGAAUUCUAGCCCUUUUUUUUUUUUUUCACAGCAAUUCAGAUUACCAUUAUAGACUAAACUCUGAUUUUCAAACCUAAUUUCCAAAUAUGCUGUACUUAAUAGAUAUCUUCUCUAGUUAGUGCAAAUAAAUUUGAUUUUCAUACUUAGCAAUGCAUUAUACAUACAAGAAGAAGAGGAAAAGAACCCUUGUUUGGACAGUCAUUUUCCAAAGAAAAAUUGCUACGUUUUCCGUGAACACAUUUUCCAAUCACCCUUUUACCUCACAUAUAUUAAAUCGCUACAGUAAUUUUUCUACAAAAAAUCUAGAAAAAUGCAAUCCAAACACAAAACUUUUGCGUUGGAUCUAGUUGCUCGGACUUGGCUUGUAACUUGCAUAACUUUUGGGUUGGAUUAGGUCUUGAGACAAAACCAUACAGUCUGGACAGAUAUGAAAAUAAUGAAAUGAAGAUGGGAGCAACCAAAAUGAUGAAAGAUGUUGUGGUUUAUGACUCCACAAAGCAAUGUCGUCCUUGCAGAAAGUAAAGAUACACAACCAAGUUUUAUAACUUGAUCGAUAAAAAAAACCAACAGCAAGCAAUGUACAUGUAUCUGGUCAUUGCUACCAUUGUCAUGGAUAUCAAGAAACUGAAGGAUGAUUUUGAUGAACGUCGCUUUUCCUUCGCUAGGAGGGAGAACAACUAUGUCAGUCAUAAGUUGGCAAAAUUUGCUAUGAACUUGAAAGGAUGUUUGCUGAAUAGAAGUGUGACUCCCCAGUCUGGCUGCUUGAAAGUGCUCACGCAGAUUUUAGGAGAGCAGUAGCUCUAAUAUUGUAAUCCUUAUUUCAGUAAUGAAAUGUUGUCAUUUUGGAGGGGGAAAAAAGAAGCAAUGUACAUGUACCUGGUGGCAAAACGUGUAUCAAUUUUCUGGCUUGUUCGAGCCUUGACUUCUCACGAGAUCUUCUACAGUCAAACAAAACAAUUAUUUUUCUUUGUUUAUUAGUAUUUUUUUGUCCUCAAAGCCCAUCUUAAUUGGUAAGAAUAUUAGUUAUAUGAUAAUGAGAUGCUGAUUCGACUCUCAAACUCUUCCCUUUUUCUCUUCCCUUUAUAAUGCUUGUACUCUUCUCUAAAACCAAAAAAAAAAAAAAAAAAUUCAAGUAGUAUUUUUUUUUUCUUUUUUUCCCAUUUUUUGUGCUCGCAUGUUUAUUUUUAAUUUCAUUUUUUUGGGGUGCGCGUACAAGGGAAAUUAGAAACCCUAUAAGUUCGAUCUAGCUGCUCGAACUCGACUCUUAAGUUCACGUGAUCUAUCUGCUUGGACUGGGAUUGAAACUCACAUAAACAAUUAGGGUUGAGUUUGUACUCAAGAUUGAUUGUAAGUCGUAACUUCAGCUUCAAAUUACUAUGAUCUGGAUUUUGGAUAGAAGUCUGACAAGCAAGAUUCAUAUGCAUGGUGUCUAGCUACAAAUGAUGGAAGUUAAAAGGUAAGCAUCACCGAAUUGAAAACGAAGUAAAUUUUCAUUACAACUUACAAGCAAGCCGUCGUAGCCUUGAUAGGUAACUGUAGUAGAAUUUCCGGAAAGAAUAUUAUUGAUUAAAGAAAAAAAAAAAAA